AACGGCCGCGGUAUCUUGACCGUGUGAAGGUAGCGUAAUCAUUUGUCUUUUAAAUGAAGACCUGUAUGAAUGGCGUAACGAAAGCUUAACUGUCUCACUCUCUCAGUCAAUGAAAUUGAUCUCCCCGUGCAGAAGCGGGGAUAUAAACAUAAGACGAAAAGACCCUAUGGAGCUUUAGAAUACGAAGCAGCCCCACAAAUUAGUUAAAAUAUCUUAAUAGACCCUGCUUCUCAUUUCUUCGGUUGGGGCGACCACGGAGAAAAACAUAGCCUCCACGAGGGAAACACCCACAUUUCUUAAAAUUAAGAAACACAACUCCAAAUUUCAGAAUAUCUGCCCACUAAACGAUCCGGUGCACCAUAAACCGAUCAACGAAACAAGUUACCCUAGGGAUAACAGCGCAAUCCCUUUUUAGAGCCCACAUCGACAAGGGGGUUUACGACCUCGAUGUUGGAUCAGGACAUCCUAAU
rnacentral:rRNA from 1 species